UACGGAGGGGGCUAGCGUUGUUCGGAAUUACUGGGCGUAAAGCGCACGUAGGCGGACUGUUAAGUCGGGGGUGAAAUCCUGGAGCUCAACUCCAGAACUGCCUUUGAUACUGGGAAGCUUGAGUCCGGGAGAGGUGAGUGGAACUCCGAGUGUAGAGGUGAAAUUCGUAGAUAUUCGGAAGAACACCAGUGGCGAAGGCGGCUCACUGGCCCGGUACUGACGCUGAGGUGCGAAAGCGUGGGGAGCAAACAGG
rnacentral:rRNA from 1 species